rnacentral:rRNA from 1 species
GAUAAACGCUGGCGGCGCACAUAAGACAUGCAAGUCGAACGGAAGUCGUUGUAAUGAUGUUGACAUGAACAGAGAACUUGUUCAAAGGGAGUGAAGAUUGACUUACAACAAUGGCUUUAGUGGCGGACUGGUGAGUAACACGUAAGCAACCUGCCUAUCAGAGGGGAACAACAGUUAGAAAUGACUGCUAAUACCGCAUAUGCCUUAGCAACACAUGUUGCAAAAGGGAAAGGUAGCAAUCCGCUGAUAGAUGGGCUUGCGUCUGAUUAGAUAGUUGGUGGGGUAACGGCCUACCCAAGUCGACGAUCAGUAGCCGGACU